AGAGAUCGAGAGAAGGAGAGACAUAGAGUUGGAGAGAGAGCCCGAGAUGAAGAGACGAUGCAGACCUGAGAGAAAGAUGACGCGGAAGAAAGAGAAGGAGAAGAAAAACGGAGUAUCGGAUUUUUGGCGAAGAUUGCAAAACCAUCGAGGUCUAUCAGGCUCAAACCAAAGAAAUCGUCGGUUAUAUCUGAAUUCCAUCUGGCGUAAACUCAUAAAUAGUUCUUUUCUUAGCCAACAAUAUUGAUGGUGAUUAUACCUUCUGGAAGUACAUGGGUUGCUCAAUGGGGUAUUCGCCCUCAAUGCAUGCUGAGCUCCUAUGUCACAAACAAGAUCCCAACAUCCCGGUAUUGGGGAAGACCUAUUAGUUGAAUUGGGAUGGGGCUGAUGUGGUUUUUCAUAUGAUCGAUAACUUCCUUCUCUAGUCCCUCUACAAGUUUGGGUUGAUGAUCUGACAAUUGGUUAGAUUGCAUCUAUAUUUUGACUACCUUGCAAAUUGUUACACUAGCAGAUCUUGUGUAUAUUUCACGUCAAUUUGGAUAGAUUAGGAGUUUUAUAGAAUUGUUUGCUUCCUAUUUCCUACUAGGUUUGUUUGUUUGCAUAUUUUAUUUGAAUUAGCUUUUCAUUUGUAA